rnacentral:rRNA from 1 species
GAUGAACGCUAGCGGCAGGCCUAAUACAUGCAAGUCGUACGGCAACACAGUUGCGAGCAAUCGCAACCGGUGGCGAGUGGCGCACGGGUGAGUAACGCGUAUGUAACCUACCCUUCUCCGGGACAUAACUCCGCGAAAGCGGUGCUAAUAUCCCAUACCAACUCAUCAAGACAUCUUCUUGAGUUGAAAGCAGCAAUGCGGUGAAGGAUGGGCAUGCGUCCCAUUAGCUGGUUGGUGAGGUAAUGGCCCACCAAGGCUACGAUGGGUAGGGGUUCUGAGAGGAAAGCCCCCCACACUGGUACUGAGACACGGACCAGACUCCUACGGGAGGCAGCAGUAAGGAAUAUUGGGCAAUGGUCGAAAGACUGACCCAGCCAUGCCGCGUGCAGGAUGAAGGCCCUAUGGGUUGUAAACUGCUUUUAGCCGGGAAUAAACACCCGUUUUAAACGGGCCCGAAGGUACCGGCUGAAUAAGCAAUCGGCUAACUCCGUGCCAGC